CGAACGCUGUUCGCGUGCUUAAGAAUACAAGUCGUGCGCGAAGGCGGCUUCGGCUGCCGGAGAUUGCCGAACGGGUGAGUAACACGUGGGUAAUCUGCCCCUCACUUCGGGAUAACUGCCUGAAAGGGUGGCUAAUACCGGAUGCGACCAUCCCCUGCAUGGGGUGGUGGUGGAAAGGGUUUCUGGUGGGGGAUGUGCUCGCGGCCUAUCAGCUUGUUGGUGGGGUAAUGGCCUACCAAGGCUUUGACGGGUAGCCGGCCUGAGAGGGUGACCGGCCACACUGGGACUGAGACACGGCCCAGACUCCUACGGGAGGCAGCAGUGGG
rnacentral:rRNA from 1 species